CAGGCAGCGUCCUCCCAGCUCCCGCCACAGGUGCACCUCGUAGGUGAAGUUCAUGGUCCGUGCCAGCUUGAUGAGCAGGUCGAUGCAAAAGCCGUAGCAACACUGAGGCACCGUGUGGCGGGCUGGGUGCUGUGGCUCACGCCUGUAAUCCCAGCACUUUGGGAGGCCGAGGCGGCCGGAUCACGAGGUCAGGAGAUCGAGACCAUCCUGGCUAACACGGUGAAACCCCGUCUCUACUGAAAAUACAAAAAAAUUAGCCGGGCGUGGUGGUGGGCACCUGUAGUCCCAGCUACUCAGGAGGCUGAGGCAGGAGAAUGGCGUGAACCCGGGAGGCGGAGCUUGCAGUGAGCGGAGACCGCGCCACUGCACUCCAGCCUGGGCGACAGAGCGAGACUCUGUCUCAAAAAAAAAAAGACAUGAUUCCCUCCAGCAGAGGAGCCGCUGAUGUCCCGUGUAUGCCAGGCAUCUUCCUGGGGUGAGAAACAGCCCAGCCUGCAGGCUGACCCCCACCCUGCUGUGCCACGAGGACAGGGGCAUGUCCACAAAGCCGACCCUGCACCUGCACAGGACCUGGGACCCGUGGGGCCACCCACCCGUGCCUCCCUUCAUCCCGGCGCACUGCCUGUCCCGGCCCCCAGUCCCGAAGCCCUCAGGCUUUGAAUGUAGGUCUCUGGCUCCUUUCUCUUGCCCGUGUGUACGUGCUCCACCGCGCCGUGGCCUCUUCGACCCACACUCCUGCUUGGGCUCGCCCUCCUGUCUGUC
rnacentral:lncRNA from 10 species